CGGACAACUGUAGUAAGUAGUAACUAUCACUCGUUGCAGCCACUCACUCAUCAUUAACAUAUUUUAGCCAUGUCAAGUCCUCAGUGUUUUCAAAACCCACCUAACCUGAAUUCGGGUAUCCAUGGAGUUGGCACUGUCCAAGAACUUGGAGGACUUAAAUCCUAUGUUACUGGAUCUCCUGAUUCCAAUUUGGCACUCAUCCUAGUUUCUGAUGUAUUUGGGUAUGAAGCACCGAAUCUAAGGAAACUUGCGGACAAAGUAGCAGCGGCUGGAUUCUUGGUUGUUGUUCCUGAUCUUCUUUAUGGUGAUUAUUUUGAUCUUGAUAAUCCUCAAUUCGAUCGAGAAGCGUGGCGAAAAGCUCAUAGACCGGAUAAGGCAUGUGAAGAUACUAAACCUAUAAUUGCUGCUCUAAAGAGUUUAGGUGUUAAAGCCAUAGGGGCUGCUGGUUUUUGCUGGGGAGGGAUUGUGGUUGUGAAAAUGGCAAUUUCCUGUGACAUUCAGGCCGCAGUUAUUCUACACCCUGGUCUAGUCACAGAAAAUGAGCUUAAUGAGGUCAAGGUUCCUCUUGCUAUAUUGGGAGCUGAAAUUGACAAUCAUUUCCCACCAGAAAAGCUAAAGGAAGUUGAAGAAUUUUUGUCUGCAAAAGUAGAGUAUGAAAGUUUUGUGAAACUAUACCCUGGUGUUACUCAUGGAUGGACAGUGCGGUAUAAUGUUGAUGAUGAAGCAGCUGUUAAGAGUGCAGAGGAGGCUCAUGAUGACAUGUUGAAUUGGUUCAUCAAGCAUGUCAAGUGAAGGUGAGAUUUGGAUUCUGCUGCCUAACGAAACUUUAUUAACAGAGUGGACCUGCUUGAGAUGUCUUUUUCUAGCCGAAUGAUGACAAUGGUGAGGGUUAGUGUCUUGAAUGAUGCUCUGAAGAGCAUGUACAAUGCUGAGAAGCGGGGGAAGCGCCAGGUCAUGAUUAGGCCAUCCUCAAAAGUGAUUAUAAAAUUCCUUUUGGUGAUGCAGAAGCAUGGGUACAUUGGAGAGUUUGAGUAUGUUGAUGAUCACAGAGCUGGAAAAAUUGUUGUUGAGUUGAAUGGUAGACUGAACAAAUGUGGGGUUAUUAGUCCCCGUUUUGAUGUGGGUGUCAAAGAGAUAGAAGGUUGGACUGCUAGGUUGCUCCCCUCAAGACAGUUUGGGUAUAUUGUUUUGACUACCUCUGCUGGUAUCAUGGAUCAUGAAGAAGCUAGGAGAAAGAAUGUUGGUGGCAAAGUUCUUGGUUUCUUUUACUAGUUUAGUUUCCUUUGAAGAUUUUGCACUACUUUCAAUUUGAGACUCAUCGGUUGUAAUGAACCAUAUGCUGGUCCCGUAGUAUUAUUAGUAUAGCAUAGCAGGAGCUGUUUUUCUGGUGUGCUUUGUUUUGUUUGCAAAACCAAUUUGGUCGCUAUGAUUUAUCUGAUUUCCUUCUUUAUUUUUCUUUUGCCAAAAUGUAUUGGCUGAAAUGACUCAUGUGGCCGCAUUAGCGAUGAUUUAAUCGGUAUUAUU